GGGGGCACCCUGGCGGCGAGCGGCGAACGGGUGAGUAAUACAUCGGAACGUACCCAGGAGUGGGGGAUAACACAUCGAAAGAUGUGCUAAUACCGCAUACGCCCUGAGGGGGAAAGCGGGGGAUCGCAAGACCUCGCGCUGUUGGAGCGGCCGAUGUCGGAUUAGCUAGUUGGUAGGGUAAAGGCCUACCAAGGCGACGAUCCGUAGCUGGUCUGAGAGGAUGAUCAGCCACACUGGGACUGAGACACGGCCCAGACUCCUACGGGAGGCAGCAGUGGGGAAUUUUGGACAAUGGGGGCAACCCUGAUCCAGCCAUUCCGCGUGAGUGAAGAAGGCCUUCGGGUUGUAAAGCUCUUUCGGCAGGAACGAAACGGCGGGCUCUAACAUGGCCUGUCAAUGACGGUACCUGAAGAAGAAGCACCGGCUAACUACGUGCCAGCAGCCGCGGUAAUACGUAGGGUGCGAGCGUUAAUCGGAAUUACUGGGCGUAAAGCGUGCGCAGGCGGUUUUGUAAGACAGCUGUGAAAUCCCCGGGCUUAACCUGGGAACUGCGGUUGUGACUGCAAGACUAGAGUGCGGCAGAGGGGGGUGGAAUUCCACGUGUAGCAGUGAAAUGCGUAGAGAUGUGGAGGAACACCGAUGGCGAAGGCAGCCCCCUGGGUUGACACUGACGCUCAUGCACGAAAGCGUGGGUAGCAAACAGGAUUAGAUACCCUGGUAGUCCACGCCCUAAACGAUGCCAACUAGGUGUUGGGGAAGGAGACUUCCUUAGUACCGUAGCUAACGCGUGAAGUUGGCCGCCUGGGGAGUACGGUCGCAAGAUUAAAACUCAAAGGAAUUGACGGGGACCCGCACAAGCGGUGGAUGGAUGUGGAUUAAUUCGAUGC
rnacentral:rRNA from 1 species